rnacentral:rRNA from 1 species
AGCCCAGAGCCUGAAUCAGUGUGUGUGUUAGUGGAAGCGUCUGGAAAGGCGCGCGAUACAGGGUGACAGCCCCGUACACAAAAAUGCACAUACUGUGAGCUCGAUGAGUAGGGCGGGACACGUGGUAUCCUGUCUGAAUAUGGGGGGACCAUCCUCCAAGGCUAAAUACUCCUGACUGACCGAUAGUGAACCAGUACCGUGAGGGAAAGGCGAAAAGAACCCCGGCGAGGGGAGUGAAAAAGAACCUGAAACCGUGUACGUACAAGCAGUGGGAGCCUCUUUAUGGGGUGACUGCGUACCUUUUGUAUAAUGGGUCAGCGACUUAUAUUCUGUAGCAAGGUUAACCGAAUAGGGGAGCCGAAGGGAAACCGAGUCUUAACUGGGCGUUAAGUUGCAGGGUAUAGACCCGAAACCCGGUGAUCUAGCCAUGGGCAGGUUGAAGGUUGGGUAACACUAACUGGAGGACCGAACCGACUAAUGUUGAAAAAUUAGCGGAUGACUUGUGGCUGGGGGUGAAAGGCCAAUCAAACCGGGAGAUAGCUGGUUCUCCCCGAAAGCUAUUUAGGUAGCGCCUCGUGAAUUCAUCUCCGGGGGUAGAGCACUGUUUCGGCAAGGGGGUCAUCCCGACUUACCAACCCGAUGCAAACUGCGAAUACCGGAGAAUGUUAUCACGGGAGACACACGGCGGGUGCUAACGUCCGUCGUGAAGAGGGAAACAACCCAGACCGCCAGCUAAGGUCCCAAAGUCAUGGUUAAGUGGGAAACGAUGUGGGAAGGCCCAGACAGCCAGGAUGUUGGCUUAGAAGCAGCCAUCAUUUAAAGAAAGCGUAAUAGCUCACUGGUCGAGUCGGCCUGCGCGGAAGAUGUAACGGGGCUAAACCAUGCACCGAAGCUGCGGCAGCGACGCUUAUGCGUUGUUGGGUAGGGGAGCGUUCUGUAAGCCUG